rnacentral:rRNA from 1 species
CCUACGGGAGGCAGCAGUAGGGAAAUUUCCACAAUGGACGCAAGUCUGAUGGAGCAACGCCGCGUGAGUGAAGAAGGUUUUCGGAUCGUAAGGCUCUGUUGUUGGUGAAGAAAGAUAGUGAGAGUAACUGCUCAUUAUUUGCCGGUAAUCAACCAGAAAGUCACGGCUAACUACGUGCCAGCAGCCGCGGUAAU